UACGGAGGAUGCGAGCGUUAUCCGGAUUUAUUGGGUUUAAAGGGUGCGUAGGCGGCCAUUUAAGUCAGCGGUGAAAUUUUGCAGCUUAACUGUAACAGUGCCGUUGAUACUGUUUGGCUAGGAUUUGGUUGUAGUGUGCGGAAUGUGUGGUGUAGCGGUGAAAUGCUUAGAUAUCACACAGAACACCGAUUGCGAAGGCAGCACACUAAGUCAUUAUUGACGCUCAGGCACGAAAGUGUGGGGAUCAAACAGGAUUAGA
rnacentral:rRNA from 1 species